rnacentral:rRNA from 1 species
GUUUGAUUAUGGCUCAGAUUGAACCUUUGGCGGGAUGCUUUACAUGCAAGUCGAACGGCAGCCUGGACUUCGGUCUGGUGGCAGUGGCGAACGGGUGAGUAAUGUAUCGGAACGUGCCUAGCGUAAGCAGGGGAUAACUACGCAGCGUAGCUAAUAUUGCGCCGCUUUCCCUUCAGGAAAGCGGGGGCCUUCGGGCCUCCGCACUAUGAAACGGCCGAUAUCCGGAUUGGCUAGUUGGUGGGGUAACGGCUCGCAAGGCGACGAUCCGUAGCUGGUUUUGAGAGGACGACUGACCACACUGGGACUGAGACGCAGCCCAGACUCCCUGCAGGAGGCGGCAGUGGGGAGCAUUUUGGACAAGUAAGGAAACCCGCAGUCCAGCCAUCCCGCGUGUGCGAUGAAGGCCUUCGGGUUGUAAGCACUUUGGCAGGAAAGAAACGGCACGGGAUAAUACCCCGUACAACUGACGAGCACCUGCAGAUAAACACCGGCUAACUACGUGCCAACAGCCGCGGUAAUACGUAGGAAUUGCAAGCGUUAAUCGGAAUUACUGGGCGUAAAGCGUGCGCAGGCGGUUCGGAAAAGAUGUGAAAUCCCGGAAGCUUAGCCUGGAACUGCAUUUUAACUACCGAAACUAGAGUGUGUCAGAGGGAGGUGGAAUUCCGCGUGGCAGUGAAAUGCGUAGAUAUGCGGAGGAACACCGAUGGCGGCAACCUCCUGGGGAUAACACUGACGCUCAUGCGAAAGCGUGGGGGAGCAAACAGGAUUAGAUACCCUGGUAGUCCACGCCCUAAGCUUGAUGUCAACUAGCUGUUGGAGCCUUCGGAGCCUUGGUAGCGCAAUAACGUGAAGUUGACCGCCUGGGAGAUACGGUCGCAAGAUUAAAACUCAAAGGAAUUGACGGGGACCCGCACAAGCGGUGGGUGAUGUGGAUUAAUUCGAUGCAAAAACUGCCCACCCUUGACAUGUCUCGGAAUCCCGAAGAGAUUUGGGAGUGGCUCGCAAGAAGAGAACCGGAACACAGGUGCUGCAUGGCUGUCGUCAGCUCGUGUCGUGAGAUGUUGGGUUAAGUCCCGCAACGGGCGCAACCCUUGUCGUGGAUUGGUACGAAAGGGCACUCUAAUGAGACUGCCGGUGACAAACCGGAGGGAAGGUGAGGAUGACGUCAAGUCCUCAUGGCCCUCAUGGUGGGGCUUCACACGUCAUACAAUGGUCGGGACAGAGGGUCGCCAACCCGCGAGAACCAAUCCCAGAAACCCGAUCGUAGUCCGGAUCGCAGUCUGCAACUCGACGCGUGAAGUCAGAAUCGCUUAGUAAUCGCGGAUCCAGCAUGUCGCGGUGAAUACGUUCGGGUCUUGUACACACCGCCCGUCACACCAUGGGGUGGGUUUACCAGAAGUAGUUAGCUAACCGUAAGAGGCGAUUACCACGGUAAGUUCAUGACUGGGGUGAAGUCGUAACUCAGUCG